GGCUCCGCCCCCGUUGCCAUGGCAGCGGCGCGGCCCGGCCGGAGAUGGCGGCGGGCGGAGUGGGCCGCAACGAGCUGGGCGGGUUGUCCCCUCCGUCACCAUGAGCCCGAACCACAGCCACACAGUCACUGAGGGGUCUGGGUUGGAAGGAACCGUAAAGCCCAUCCAGCCGCACCCCCUGCCACAGGGAGGGACACCUUCCGCUAGACCAGGUUGUGUUUUAUAAUCACAAGGUCAUGGCCAUGCUUCUGUUUAACUGUAAAUAUUUUUGAAAUUAGAAUUCCCACUGACAGAGAGCAGGAUUCUGGGAGCAAUACAGGCUUCAAUGUCAAGGUCAGGAUUCAGAGCAUCUUCCUUCCUGUGCUGUCCAAAGAAGAGAUGCAAAUUAAAAUCCUAUGAAAAAAUACACCAAGGAGAAGAUCCACUUGGCUCUGCCUUGACACACAUGGAUUCAUUAGUCACUGAAGUCAGAGCUGGGUGGUUUUAGGCUCAAUAUACCUAUCAACAUACCAUUUAGGAACCUAAAAACACCAAGAUAUCAAGCAUGCUGCCAUGCCCAGAGGUGCCUUGGCUCUUGUCCCAGCAAGGAUUGAAACCCACAGUGCUGCCCUAAAAUGCUUCCAGUCUAGCAAGGGAAGCAUGGGAUCAUGAGAAAUCAGCCAUCCUGGCUCCAGAGGAACUGCAGCCCCUUCCCUCUGAUGGACGACUGAUGUUUCCUAACCUCAGGCCAAGCUGUCAUUGCCUCAAGAAGUGUUUCUGAUCUCUUGCCUAAAUCUCCCUCAUGACAGUUGCAGUCCGUUGCUUCAUGCCGUGUCUCCUGUGCACAUGGGGAAGAUUUGUUCUCCUUUUAUAGAAUCUGUAAGGUUGGAAAAGACUUCUAAGAUCACUGAGA